rnacentral:rRNA from 1 species
ACAUGCUUACAUCAUAGUGUUAAUGCACUGGAUUCCAUUAGAAAUAUGCAGUUAAGCGUGCUCAGGCUAGAGUAGUACUGGGAUGGGUGACCUUCCAGGAAGUCCUAGUGUUUUACAUGCC